UACGUAGGGGUGCAAGCGUUGUCCGGAAUUAUUGGGCGUAAAGGGCUCGUAGGCGGUCCAUCGCGUCGGGAGUGAAAAGCUGGGGCUUAACCCCAGUCCUGCUUCCGAUACGGGUGGACUAGAGGUAGGUAGGGGAGAUCGGAAUUCCUGGUGUAGCGGUGAAAUGCGCAGAUAUCAGGAGGAACACCGGUGGCGAAGGCGGAUCUCUGGGCCUUACCUGACGCUGAGGAGCGAAAGCAUGGGGAGCAAACAGG
rnacentral:rRNA from 1 species